AAACUUUCAACAACGGAUCUCUUGGUUCUCGCAUCGAUGAAGAACGCAGCGAAAUGCGAUAAGUAGUGUGAAUUGCAGAAUUCCGUGAAUCAUCGAAUCUUUGAACGCACAUUGCGCCUCCUGGUACUCCGGGGGGCAUGCCUGUCCGAGCGUCAUUA
rnacentral:rRNA from 1 species